GUGCAGUGUAUAUGUAUGCGGUAGUUUGUUGAAUUUUAGGAGUUCAAGAGUGUCCUUCUCAAACCAUCUGUCUUCCUAAAAGGCUGGGAUUAAAAGUGUGGAACCCAGGUUUCCCAGGUUCGGAUCUUCCCUCUUAUAGUCUCUGCGACCUUGAGCAAGCAAAUCUUUUUGUGUAUUAAGGAAGGAAAUCGGAAGUUCCUGAGGAGAGAUGUCAACAUAGCGAGCUCUGAGGAUGCAGGAUGGCGACCCAGCUGAUGCAGAAUGGUGACCCAGCUGACCAAGGGGCACUGUCCUCCACCGGCUCACUGUGAUGGCGGGGGGGGGGGGGGGGGGGUGCGGGGGCGGAUGGAGGGGACUGCACCUUCCUGUCUGUCUACCUUGCUUGGCUUGGCUUUGGGACAUUGCUUCCCAGGACAGUUCCCAAUGUGAAAUUCUCCCUGAUUAUAAAAAUAAAAAGGAAUCAGAACUGCUGCAUCCCACUGACUUUAUUUUUAAAAAUCA
ensembl:lncRNA